GACGAACCGAGCGAACGUUGUUCGGAAUCACUGGGCUUAAAGGGCGCGUAGGCGGGCUGUCAAGUCUGGGGUGAAAUCCCGCGGCUCAACCGUGGAACUGCCUCAGAUACUGACGGCCUCGAGGGAGAUAGGGGCGAGCGGAACGGAUGGUGGAGCGGUGAAAUGCGUUGAUAUCAUCCGGAACUCCGGUGGCGAAGGCGGCUCGCUGGAUCUCUUCUGACGCUGAGGCGCGAAAGCUAGGGGAGCAAACGGG
rnacentral:rRNA from 1 species